rnacentral:rRNA from 1 species
UACCAGCACCCCGAGUGGUCGGCACGAUUAUUGAGCCUAAAGCAUCCGUAGCCGGUUCUACAAGUCUUCCGUUAAAUCCACCUGCUUAACAGAUGGGCUGCGGAGGAUACUAUAGAGCUAGGAGGCGGGAGAGGCAAGCGGUACUUAGUGGGUAGGGGUAAAAUCCGUUGAUCCAUUGAAGACCACCAGUGGCGAAGGCGGCUUGCCAGAACGCACUCGACGGUGAGGGAUGAAAGCUGGGGGAGCAAACCGG